GGUCUGGUGGUGUAGCCGUUACACAUCCUCUACUUAUCCAUGUGGUCAUGAACAAUGUUCUGAGGGAGCCCCUCGUUCGAGUCGGGGUCAGACCA